rnacentral:lncRNA from 1 species
AAAAAAAACUUUUUUUUUUCGAGUCUGAAGAAUUCCCAUAGCGCUAAACUGUUUAUAUUUGCACAAAAUGUUCUUAUCAAUCAGACUGUUUGUUUAUUUAUUUUAUGCAUCAUGUUUAGAAAUUGAAAAGGAUGAUAAGAGCCGAUUUCAUACUUUCCUUUAUGCAGAAGACAUUCACUCUUCAAGAAUUAGAAAAGAUAUUGAAAGGCAGAAACUACCUGUCAGCAAAGAUCAGAUAAAAGAAAUGCUUGCUGAAUAUGCACAUAUUAUGUA